AAAACGUUGGGUUGUUUUUUCAACCCAACUGCUGGGUUGAGCCAGUUGGGUUAUUUUGUUGGGUUGUUUUAUCAGUGUUGGGUAGUUUUUGUGUAACCCAACUUGUUGGGUUAUAUGUUGGGUAAUUUUGAAGCAGAGCCAACUUAAUAGAUACAUAUAGCUGUUUCUCAAUAUUACUUUCUCUAGUCCACAAAAUGUAUUUUAAACAUAAGUUCAGGCGAGAAUAUAUAUGUAUAAUGUUCAAAUUUGCAGUCGGUUUGUAAAGUGAACGCCAAUUUUAAAGUUUAAUUUCAAAAAGUCGGAAUGUUACCGGCGCGACCACCGGGUGUCAGUGUUGUUCUUCCCCAGAGAGAACUUCUCCCUUCCCCCACACAGACACGUCAGACUCCUCCUGCCACAGCACGCUACCUGACGCGGGAAUUUAACAUCACCUCAGGAUUCAUAAACGGUUUUUCAUCGACUUAUCUUUCAUUUAUUUGAAGGAAAAGACCCUGAUGGAUAAAAGAUGGAUAUUUUUUUCCUGGAGAAGCUAAAACAAUGUCACUUUGAGGUUCUGAUACCAGCUUUUACAAAGUUAUUUACAGAGUUCACAAGACUUCUCUGUGUUAUUCCCUGACCAUGCCGAAAAGCUAUUUGAAACUUGGGCACUGCAUUUUCCAGACAGAAUCCUGCAACUUCCCAGCCAAGAACCAGGAGCAUCAACAAAUCACCUACAGAACCCCAUGAUGAUAUUCCAACUCCUGUCUACAAAAGUGGGAAGAAAAUCUUAAGUUUAUGUUGGGACCAACAUGGUUGCAUUCUUCUGAGAGGCUGAGGUGACAAAACCAUUCCCAUUUGUCCUUGGAUUGGAAGAUGACGAUCUCUGCCAUCAAGCCUUCGUUGUUUUUGACAGACAGUCACUCCAGCAAUACACCCUCCUUGGUGAUGUUGACAUGUUUUAAACUUUUUUUUAUGUUUUGGACAUUCAUUUUACUAAGCAGUGCACAUCAGUGUGGGUGUUUUUGAAGACUGUUGUUUACAAACUCCCAAGAACGGAAUCCCUUUCUAUAAGAAGUCUGUGUAGUUAUUUGUCAUGCUAAGGUGAUAACUCAUGUUGAUCAUAUAUUGACUGUUUGUGCAACUUAGUGUUGAUCUUAUGUGUUACAUUAACCAUUUCUUAUUACACGGUUCUCUAAAAUGCUAGUUUCUGAUUGGCUAGUCGUGACAUUCUACUACUGCUCAAAACUAAAAACUCCAAUGCUGCAAAUCAUUUUGACAGGUACAGUUUUAUAUUACACAAAAAUUAAAUAUCAAUGUCUAUUAAUAACAUAUCCGACAUUAAAUUUACAAAUGAUUAAACCAAUGUGUUUGUGACAUUUGUCCUGAAGAAACUGUUGGGGCUUUUUUCUGUGAUGACAUGCUGCCAAUACAUUAUCCCUUACUUUUUACUUGAUCUAAUUGUAAUGUUAACUGGGUAUCUGUCAUUUUAGAUUGUGAGAUAUAAUACUAAUAUAUUUUUUUUUAUUAGAAAGUUGAUUGUUUGUGUAGGGCUAUGUACUCUUUUAUUGUUCAUG